rnacentral:rRNA from 1 species
UGAACGCUGGCGGCGUGCCUAAUACAUGCACGUCGAGCGAACAGAUGAGGAGCUUGCUCCUCUGACGUUAGCGGCGGACGGGUGAGUAACACGUGGAUAACCUACCUAUAAGACUGGGAUAACUUCGGGAAACCGGAGCUAAUACCGGAUAAUAUAUUGAACCGCAUGGUUCAAUAGUGAAAGACGGUUUUGCUGUUACUUAUAGAUGGAUCCGCGCCGCAUUAGCUAGUUGGUAAGGUAACGGCUUACCAAGGCAACGAUGCGUAGCCGACCUGAGAGGGUGAUCGGCCACACUGGAACUGAGACACGGUCCAGACUCCUACGGGAGGCAGCAGUAGGGAAUCUUCCGCAAUGGGCGAAAGCCUGACGGAGCAACGCCGCGUGAGUGAUGAAGGUCUUCGGAUCGUAAAACUCUGUUAUUAGGGAAGAACAAAUGUGUAAGUAACUAUGCACGUCUUGACGGUACCUAAUCAGAAAGCCACGGCUAACUACGUG